rnacentral:rRNA from 1 species
GAUGAACGCUGGCGGCGUGCCUAAUACAUGCAAGUCGAGCGAACAGACGAGGAGCUUGCUCCUCUGACGUUAGCGGCGGACGGGUGAGUAACACGUGGAUAACCUACCUAUAAGACUGGGAUAACUUCGGGAAACCGGAGCUAAUACCGGAUAAUAUAUUGAACCGCAUGGUUCAAUAGUGAAAGACGGUUUUGCUGUCGCUUAUAGAUGGAUCCGCGCCGCAUUAGCUAGUUGGUAAGGUAACGGCUUACCAAGGCAACGAUGCGUAGCCGACCUGAGAGGGUGAUCGGCCACACUGGAACUGAGACACGGUCCAGACUCCUACGGGAGGCAGCAGUAGGGAAUCUUCCGCAAAGGGCGAAAGCUUGACGGAGCAACGCCGCGUGAGUGAUGAAGGUCUUCGGAUCGUAAAACUCUGUUAUUAGGGAAGAACAAAUGUGUAAGUAACUAUGCACGUCUUGACGGUACCUAAUCAGAAAGCCACGGCUAACUACGUG